AUAUUGGUUUUUCCUAGGAACCCUUGAUUGUGAGACAAUGUGACCAUCGGUUUCUAAGGUUUUUGUAUUGAUUCUUGAAGGAGUCAUCGGAACUGGCGGCACUUGAAGCAUCCAAAGGAUUCGAGAGACGAUAAUGUUCCCUGUUUCAAAUCUUUUUGAGGUGCUCAGUUUUUCUGUCGACAAGGUGGUUGUGGCGUUUGAUUUAUAUGGUUAGGGUUUUCCAGAAUUGGGCUGACGGGAGAUCCGGGCACUCCAAAUAAGUGAGACAGGCAAGAGUGAGCUACUUCCGUACCAGCUUGAAGGAUUGAAUUUCUUACGUUUCUCAUGGUCUAAAGUCUAAACAAACACAUGUGAUACUUGCAGACGAAAUGGGUCUUGGGAAACGAUACAAAGUAUUGCUUUUUUGGCAUCGUUGUCUAAAGAGAAUGUCUCCCCUCAUUUAGUAGCACCGCUUUCUACAUUAAGGAAUUGGGAACAUUAAUUUGCUAUAUGGGCUGCUAAUAUGAAUGUUUCGCAUCUUCUCCACACGAAGAAGAAACAACCUUCACUUUCAGACGUUAUUGCGGUAAUUAUAUUCCAGUUUUCUCUUCUUACUUCAUAUUGCAGUUUUAUUCGCUGUUAAAAAGUUGUGUUUUUCAAGCAAACAACAAAGAAAUAGGAUGUUUUGUUUACGGUGCUACAAUUUUGAAGAAUAUAACAACAGCUAUUUGAAGGUGAUGUGUGUUUUAUAUCCGUAUUUUUUAUUUUUAUUUUUUUGCCUAUGAAUAAAAAAUAAUCUGAUGUAUCAAGGAUUUGUGAUUUUUAAUGUGGAUUUUUUAUUAUAGUAGAUAUUGCAGUACUGACCAAAAGUACCGGUACCAAAAAUGCCAAAAAGUGGGUACGAAUCGGUACCGAAAAUAAUUUGGUACAGUACUGGUCUCAAGUACCAAAUGCCCAUCCUUACCUUCUAUAUAUUAGUAGGUUAUUUUUUUUGUAUUUUAAACGGGUCAAACAUAUUAUGUUUUAAAUGAUUUAACUAAAGAGAAUUGCUUUGAACAAAUCUAACUGGCUAGAUGAGUCAAGCUUGAUCAAACGGUUUGAAACUCAGCGGAAGUGUAUGUAAAUACACCAAAACCUAAAACGAAUCCUCAUUAAUGUUUAGAAUACAUUGUAAUAAUACAGAUUUUGUAUAACCAAAAAUGAUAAAUGAUGUGUUUGUGGUCCGACUACCCAACCCAUUUCAGCUCACACUAAUGAUUACCUGUGUUGACGCAUUGCCACCUCCACUAUAAAGUUUACAUAAUUUAUGUAUGAAUAGAGGCGUUCACACCUUAUUUUCAAAUUGUGAAACCAUCCAAGCCGUUUAUCAUGUCUAGCAACUGCAACAUCGUGUCCAGUAGCAUAUGCAACAAUGGCACAACAACGAGCAAAGGUAGUCAUCCACUUUUUACAAGGAAUGUGGUUCUAUAUUACGCACCGGCUAGCUGAACAGGUCGAUAGGGUGCGCACCAGCUAGCUGGGGAGUUUGAUUGGCUUUUACCCUAUGUUCAGGAACCGCUUGAUCAUAUCCUGUUCAAGAUGGGUCUUUCUAAAAUCAAGAUUCAAGAGCUGAUCUCCAACUAAGAGAAUCAUCAAUGCAUUAAAAGAUUCGAGGGUCUUGCGUUUUCUAGAGCAUGGCGACUCCCAAUUGAAACAUCGGAUAUCCAUUCUCAACUGAAACAGGUGUGGAGAUUACUUCUAGCUGCUAUGAAGUUUUCAUUUGCUAAUGGCAUUGAAUUGCACGUGUUUUGUGAGCUGGAUAAGUAUUGUCAUAUGUGGAACUUGCAUUUAAUUAUAUUGUGCUUCCUUUGUACACCUACUACAUGCUUGAAGCAUUAUAAAAAUUACCAACUUUUGCAA